GAUGAACGCUAGCGGGAGGCCUAACACAUGCAAGCCGAGCGGUAUUGUUUCUUCGGAAAUGAGAGAGCGGCGUACGGGUGCGUAACACGUGUGCAACCUGCCUUUAUCUGGGGGAUAGCCUUUCGAAAGGAAGAUUAAUACUCCAUAAUAUAUUGAACGGCAUCGUUUAAUAUUGAAAGCUCCGGCGGAUAGAGAUGGGCACGCGCAAGAUUAGCUAGUUGGUGAGGUAACGGCUCACCAAGGCGAUGAUCUUUAGGGGGCCUGAGAGGGUGAUCCCCCACAGUGGGAGAGACACCCGGACAACACCCCUGCGGGAGGCAGAAGGGAGGAAUAUGGUCAAGGGGGUACAGGCAUGACCCCCCCCUCCCGGUGGAGAGACCCCUCCCAUGGGGUUUUUAAACUUUUUUUGUAGAGAAAAAACCCCCCCCUCGGGGGGGUACCGAAGGAUAAUAAACAAAAAAACCCCGCCUAGCUCCGGC
rnacentral:rRNA from 1 species